UUUUGUUGUUCUUUCAUUGUUGUUGAAGAUAAUCUGGUAGAGCUAAUGUAAACAGAUAAAUACAUUCUGUGAUGCACACAUGUAUACGUAUAUAUGGGAUAGGUGCACAGUCAUGGGUUAACUAUGUAUAGCCGAGUAAUAGAGUUUGCCGAGUAGACAUGCGCCCUUCUUGGACCAAGGUGCCGGCCUUGCCCCAUAUUUCUUCGAAAUGGCCGCGCAGAGAGUGGAGUGACGUUCGAUAUCUUAAAAGUAGACGACGACGUCGUCAGAAAGUUGACGGUGUCGAAGAAGCCUCGACGACGACAGAGCCGACGACGACAGGGCCGACGACGACAGGGCCGACGACGACAGGGCCGACGACGCCGAUGACACUACGUUCCUCUCUCUUUCUGUUCUUUCGAGAGAGGUGAAGAGAAAGUGCAUCAAGACGCACUGGUCUAUACAAAGACAGAGUUGAUUACGAGAUUAUAUUCGUAAUAACUCUUUUCGCGAAUGGAUUCUACAGAUUUGUACAUUACACGUAUCUAAUAAUAAAAAUGAUACUAUCAUAACAUAAUUAAUUAUGUCCAUGUCGCAUAAAACUUCUUACGAGAUAAUAAAUCGGACUAUAUAUAGCGACCGUUUUUAUCAGUAACAUAGAGCGAUGAUGCUCGGUGCGUGAAGUACUAUUGAUUCGGCCUGCAGACAGAAUAGGCAGGCAUCCAUAUUCGAUUUUCAAGCGUGCCCAACUACAUUGUCAUUUAGUGACGUAUACGAAUAAAUCUUCAGUUCGAGAUACUGCAUCGUAUGUUCGCAUUAUGUUCCAAAUCAUGAAAUAUAUUCUGUGUAGAAAAAAGAAAAGAGAGUCAAUAAAUUAAAAAGAAA